AUGGCCGUCGUCAGUUCGUACUGUGAAGCAUCCUGUUAAGUCAGGCAACGAGCGAGACCCACGCCAACAGUUGCCAGCAUGUCCUCCGGGAUGAUGGGGACACUGUUGGGACCGCCUCUGCUAAAGAGGAGGAAGGAAUGGGCAACGGUAGGUCAGCAUGCCCCGAAUUAUCCGGGCUACACGCGGGCUACAAUGGUCAGGACAAUGGGUAUCGACACCGAGAGGUGGAGGCAAUCUCCUAAACCUGUCCUUAGUUCGGAUUGUGGGCUGCAACUCGUCCACAUGAAGCUGGAAUCCGUAGUAAUCGCGUUUCAAAAUAGCGCGGUGAAUAUGUCCCUGCUCCUU
rnacentral:rRNA from 1 species